CAUAACCAGCACCACGCCAGGAAUAUUUCACUCCCUUUGAAAAGACGAUGGAAUAACACGUAACCGGAGUUGAGCUGGCAUCACCCAUCCGUUUUCAGAAGCCAGAGGUCCCUGGCAAGAGGCCUGGUGUAAGAACUUUGCUGGUCUCCUGGACUGACUUCAUGGAAUUCAUUAGUGGGUUCUUAGGCCAGGGAGAGGGAAGGUCCUGACUGAGCCCAGGCUCAUCCCUGGAGGGUCCAUCUCCAGCAUGAACACAGCAGCCGCCUCCCGUGUUUCAAAGAGGCCAGGCCAAAUCUUUGCACAGAUUAGUCAUUAACAAUGGAGUUAAUAAUGAUAAUGGCACAAACGUCCUGUACCUGCGUGAGCUACACUUAGGAAAAUCUGCCAGCACCAGUUUCCCCAGGAAAACCCCUAAAAUCACGAGCCAACAAGUGACCUAAGUGACGUCUAAGGAUGGGAGCGUAGUCCCGUACCUGCUUGGAUCCUUUUUGCUUCUCACCCUAACCUGAAAAGAUGCUGAUUAAAGAGACGCCCCGGGGUGUUAGACAAACAAGCAGGAAUCUGCUGCUCUCCCGUGAGGACAGAAUCCCCAGCUCUGCCUGCAGACCAGGACAAAGCUGCA